AUUGAACGCUGGCGGCAUGCUUUACACAUGCAAGUCGAACGGUAACAGGGUGCUUGCACCGCUGACGAGUGGCGAACGGGUGAGUAAUGCGUCGGAACGUGCCGAGUAGUGGGGGAUAACGCAGCGUAAGUUGUGCUAAUACCGCAUACGUACUGAGGUAGAAAGUGGGGGACCUUCGGGCCUCACGCUAUUCGAGCGGCCGACGUCUGAUUAGCUAGUAGGUGAGGUAAAGGCUCACCUAGGCGACGAUCAGUAGCGGGUCUGAGAGGAUGAUCCGCCACACUGGGACUGAGACACGGCCCAGGCUCCUACGGGAGGCAGCAGUGGGGAAUUUUGGACAAUGGGCGAAAGCCUGAUCCAGCCAUGCCGCGUGCCUGAAGAAGGCCUUCGGGUUGUAAAGGACUUUUGUCAGGGAGGAAAUCCCUAGUGCUAAUAACACUGGGGGAUGACAGUACCUGAAGAAUAAGCACCGGCUAACUACGUGCCAGCCGCCGCUGUAA
rnacentral:rRNA from 1 species